CUCGUGUACAUUCCUCAUAUAGGAAGAACUGAACAUCAGAACUUCACUCGCUGCGGUGGACGACGUUCCAGCAGAAAAGAACAGAAAAAAGAAACUACAGCUGCAUCACCAUGAUUGCUAAGAUUUGUGUCGUCGUGCUUCUGUUUGUCGCAUCUGGAAAGGCACAGACCACAACUGCACCAACUACGGCUGCACCAACUACGGCUGCACCAACCACGGCUGCACCCACCACCGUUGCACCAACCACCGCUGCACCCACCACUGUUGCA